AUCCUUUUUUGAUUCAUAAGCGGUGAUGACUGGAUGUUCAUGCACAUGCGUGACAUGUGCUGCCCUCAAACCUUGCUACACACUGGCACAUUACCCAUCUGAUG